UAAAAAUGAGUUUCUUUUUUGCAUCGAUUUAUAUCAGCAAAGACAAAAAACUUAUUACCCAAAGGUUACAAGGUGCUAGAUUACCAAAACACAUCAGUAAAAAAAGAAGAAGAGAAACAUACAUACAAAUUGUUACAAUAGAACAUUAACUCACCACACCAGUAAAAAAAAAGAAGAAAAUUACAAUACACAAGAGGACAAAAAUACACAAAAAAAUAUCUGAUCAAAAGACCUUCACAUGUUAAAUGAUUUUUCUUCACGCGUUGUUCCUCCAAAUCUCACUCACUUAUAUAAAAUCAAGGAUCCUUCUAACAAAUUUAUUUCAUUCCUAUCCAAAUUUCCAGCUGAUUCCUUUCCCUCAAAAUUCUUUAUAAAUGCCUCUGUAGAGACCCUUGAAAACGGACACAAAAAGGCAUUGUUACUCUACUGAAAUUCAUUUCAAACCUUACCAAAAGCUCCUAAAUAUUCAAACUAUUCAGAGUCUCUCAUAGAAAUUCUGAAGUGGUUGAGCUAAAGCUUUCAAUACAUAUAACAAUACUGCAACCCAUACUGCAGCAAAACAAAGAGAAGAAGAUAAAUGGAGUAAGAAAGAACCGACAUUUACCGUGUAUUGUUGGAGAUCCACUAGAAAAGUCACCGAAAUCCAGAAAACUCAAAGCUCCUAUACAAUACUUUUUUAUCAUUUUUCUUCCAUUCAAAUCUCUUAUACAUCAUGGCGAAAUAAAACCCCCUUGAAAUGACACAUUAAUAUGAUGUAAAUUCUUGAGUUGAUUCACUAGGGUUCUUGAUUUUUUUGCUUCAAAUGAUGUUGUUGCUACCAAUUGCUUAUUGUUGAUAACUGAUUGUUGAGUUGGAUUUUCUUAUUGAUAAUUUGUAUGGAACAUUGUUGUUGCUAAAUAAUUAAAGGAAACGAAAAAAAAUGAAGAAGAGGUAGAAAGUGUUUCUGAUUUUUUUUUCGUUUACGUAUGAUUUAUUUUGAGAGGUGAGCCAUUUUCCUUUGAAGAGAUAGUGAUACAUUUUGAUGAUGGGGAGAGAAGCAAAUUGCAAUGUGUAAGGAAGGUUCUUGAUUUAUUCCACCUAUAUCAUUUAUUUCAAUUAAUAAUUUAAUUUAAUUUUUUUUACCCAUUCUCUUUAACUAUGUUUUAUUGGGUGUAUCUGACUCAUUUAAUAGAUUAUUUCCACUGAUAA
rnacentral:lncRNA from 1 species